rnacentral:rRNA from 1 species
CUGGAGGUAUCAGAAGUGCGAAUGCUGACAUAAGUAACGAUAAAGCGGGUGAAAAGCCCGCUCGCCGGAAGACCAAGGGUUCCUGUCCAACGUUAAUCGGGGCAGGGUGAGUCGACCCCUAAGGCGAGGCCGAAAGGCGUAGUCGAUGGGAAACAGGUUAAUAUUCCUGUACUUGGUGUUACUGCGAAGGGGGGACGGAGAAGGCUAUGUUGGCCGGGCGACGGUUGUCCCGGUUUAAGCGUGUAGGCUGGUUUUCCAGGCAAAUCCGGAAAAUCAAGGCUGAGGCGUGAUGACGAGGCACUACGGUGCUGAAGCAACAAAUGCCCUGCUUCCAGGAAAAGCCUCUAAGCAUCAGGUAACAUCAAAUCGUACCCCAAACCGACACAGGUGGUCAGGUAGAGAAUACCAAGGCGCUUGAGAGAACUCGGGUGAAGGAACUAGGCAAAAUGGUGCCGUAACUUCGGGAGAAGGCACGCUGAUAUGUAGGUGAAGCGACUUGCUCGUGGAGCUGAAAUCAGUCGAAGAUACCAGCUGGCUGCAACUGUUUAUUAAAAACACAGCACUGUGCAAACACGAAAGUGGACGUAUACGGUGUGACGCCUGCCCGGUGCCGGAAGGUUAAUUGAUGGGGUCAGCGCAAGCGAAGCUCUUGAUCGAAGCCCCGGUAAACGGCGGCCGUAACUAUAACGGUCCUAAGGUAGCGAAAUUCCUUGUCGGGUAAGUUCCGACCUGCACGAAUGGCGUAAUGAUGGCCAGGCUGUCUCCACCCGAGACUCAGUGAAAUUGAACUCGCUGUGAAGAUGCAGUGUACCCGCGGCAAGACGGAAAGACCCCGUGAACCUUUACUAUAGCUUGACACUGAACAUUGAGCCUUGAUGUGUAGGAUAGGUGGGAGGCUUUGAAGUGUGGACGCCAGUCUGCAUGGAGCCGACCUUGAAAUACCACCCUUUAAUGUUUGAUGUUCUAACGUUGACCCGUAAUCCGGGUUGCGGACAGUGUCUGGUGGGUAGUUUGACUGGGGCGGUCUCCUCCUAAAGAGUAACGGAGGAGCACGAAGGUUGGCUAAUCCUGGUCGGACAUCAGGAGGUUAGUGCAAUGGCAUAAGCCAGCUUGACUGCGAGCGUGACGGCGCGAGCAGGUGCGAAAGCAGGUCAUAGUGAUCCGGUGGUUCUGAAUGGAAGGGCCAUCGCUCAACGGAUAAAAGGUACUCCGGGGAUAACAGGCUGAUACCGCCCAAGAGUUCAUAUCGACGGCGGUGUUUGGCACCUCGAUGUCGGCUCAUCACAUCCUGGGGCUGAAGUAGGUCCCAAGGGUAUGGCUGUUCGCCAUUUAAAGUGGUACGCGAGCUGGGUUUAGAACGUCGUGAGACAGUUCGGUCCCUAUCUGCCGUGGGCGCUGGAGAACUGAGGGGGGCUGCUCCUAGUACGAGAGGACCGGAGUGGACGCAUCACUGGUGUUCGGGUUGUCAUGCCAAUGGCACUGCCCGGUAGCUAAAUGCGGAAGAGAUAAGUGCUGAAAGCAUCUAAGCACGAAACUUGCCCCGAGAUGAGUUCUCCCUGACUCCUUGAGAGUCCUGAAGGAACGUUGAAGACGACGACGUUGAUAGGCCGGGUGUGUAAGCGCAGCGAUGCGUUGAGCUAACCGGUACUAAUGAACCGUGAGG